UUCAGCCCCAUAGCUCCCCGGACCUCACAUCAGUGAGCUGGAGUAAAGAUAAACUUUCUGAACCCUCCUCCCAGGGGAAGUCGAUCACUGCUCACCCCCCUCCAUUAAGGACUCUGGUCACAGGCAGGCAAAGGGGCCAGGAAGCCCCAGACAGGAGAGCUCAUUGGGACGAGGAAGACAGAGGGAGGAGGGAGCUGAAAUAUCCCGACCAGAGAGAUGCUCACCGGACAGUCCCCAGCCAGAGAGAAUGUGUGCCCACUUCCGGGAACAGCAAAUACUUCCCUUUCUGCAGCUCAGAGAUGGGAAGCCCCAUCUUGCUCCCAACCUCACUGCCCUGGGUGAAGCAGCUCUGUGAGACCCCUGGUGGAGAUUCUAGAGGCUUGAGAAGAAAGUGCAUCUGAGGGCAGGGCUAGUACCUGGGCAGCUCCUGACCCAGCCC